ensembl:lncRNA
GGGAUACAGUUAAGAUGUGGUGGCAAGAGAACUGAAUGUCUCAGAAAAUGUUAUAAAAAUUAAAUUUCAACCAGGGAGCUGUUGUCAGAAAUUUGGUAUUUUAUUUUACCACCAAUCCUAAAAAAAUUGGUUUGCCACUUAUAUUUCCUAAAAAAAAAAAAAAAUAAAUAGAUAGAUAAGCAAACAGCAACAACAACCAACUGGAUACUUACAUUUUUAAUUACUUCCUUGUUUCAGUACCUCAAUCAUACCUCAGUACAUUUUAAGAGAUUGAAGUACUUAGAAGCUAUAAAACCAUUAUUAUUAUUAUUAUUAUUAUUUUAUUAUUAUUGCUCUUAUGAAUGCUAUGUCUGUCAUGAAAAAGCUAAGUUCAGUGUAUGUGCUAUUAGUUGGAGUUUUCUGUGAUUUUGCCACUGUAGCUCCCACAUGUGUGGAGUACUAGAUCUCAUGGCUUGGUUAUUUUAUACCUCAGGGUUCUUAACCAGGGCACAGGCAACAAGUUUCCAACCACCAGCUGUGAUGCAUUGGUUGUGAUGGUGCUAGAUGUGUAGCUCCUACACAGUCUGGUGGUCAUGGAUGUCAUGUGUUGUGGUUUCCUCCUUUGUCCACGCCAGGAAAGCCUGCUCUCCUGCCAUGUGACUCCUCUGUUAUGUAACUCUAAACCACAACUGUGAGGAUGAGCAAACACUGACAAGGCUCUAUGGUUUGCAGACAGAUUCAACUAUGUCCUUCAAGGGAGUCUUCAUUUAGGUUUGGGGCCUCCAUACUGAUCUCUUGGUACUGUCUCUCCCCAUCUCUAAAAGAAGUCCAUGAUGUCAGCUACAUUACAGACUUGUGUUUUUUUUGUUGUUUUUUUUUUGUUUGUUUGUUUUUUGUUCAGACCCCAGAUUUCACAUUCAUUUUCUGGGUGUGA